UUUCCGUAGGUGAACCUGCGGAAGGAUCAUUCAUAAUAAAGUGUUUUAUGGCACUUUUAAAAAUCCAUAUCCACCUUGUGUGCAAUGUUAGAUCUCGUCAAUCUUGGCGAGAUUUUUAUACAUCAACUCAUUCUUUAACUAGUUUGUCUGAAAAAUAUUAUGAAUACUUAAUUCAAAAUACAACUUUCAACAACGGAUCUCUUGGCUCUC
rnacentral:misc_RNA from 1 species